UUAAAAAAAGCUGAAACUAUUUUGGGUUCGCGCUGAUAUAAUUUUCCUUUCCCACUUCUUUUCACACAAUCAAUAAGAACUUCUUUUCUCUCACUUUGAACCCAGACCUUCUUUGAACAUCAUUCGAAUCUCAGCCUCAGCAAACUCAUACCCAUUGAACCCCAUAUCUCCCAUGUCAUCAUCUCACUCUCAACGAUAAGAUACAAAACAUCAUUUGCUGGAGUCCACAAAUGCCGAACUCUCUCCCUAGUCCCUAACCUCAUACCUUCAUCGAUCUAUCCCUCACCUAACCCAUCAUUUGAACGCUCUCUCUCUCUCUCUCCCUCGUUGAACUCUAAUUGAAUCAAUUGAUUGAAACCCCCCAUCUUUCAGAAAUCAAUUGAACCCUAAUUUGAUUAAUCAAAUUCUAUGUGAGGCAAGUGGUGAACACAAUCUUCCAUUCAUAAGAAGGGAUGUUUGGUGUGAAAUAACCUGCAGAAUUUUGCAGUAGUGGAUCAGAUUUGUGUUGUUUUGUUGUCUCGGUUCUGUUUUGGGGUGGGAGUGAUCUAGAAUUGCUUGUGUUGUUUCGUCAUUUGGAGUCAAUUGAGGGUUUCAAUUGAGUCGGUUUUCUGAUCUGCCAGUAGUAUUGGUUCGAGGACAGCGAAUUCGGGUUAUGAUCCUCCAGAUUGCGCUGCUACUACUGAACUGCUGCGGCUUUGAGCUUUUGCUGCGGUUCUGCUACUCCUAAUUGCUACUGCUGUUGUGCGCUGCAUCUGCUGUACCACUGAUUUGCGCUUCUGCUGCUGUUCCUAUUCGCUGCUACAGUCUGCUUCCUCAUCUCCUUCCAUUUCGUUACAAACUCAUUGUGUUACAGUCCCGUCCAAACUAUUUUCUUUGUCGGUUUUAAAGCAAUAUCACUACUUGUUGUAGUGCAUACUUUGGAGACCAAUAUUAGUCUUGGAAAUGUGUCUUUCUCAUUCACUCACACCAAAGCUCUAGAGCCUUUCUUUUCCAUCAUUCUUUCUGCCAUAUUUAUUGGAGAGCGACGUGUUGUAAUGUGGCAUUAACCAACCAUUCAAGCACUUAAAGAUGACAAAAUAUAGAUGACACUAUUUCAGUUGUAAUCGUUGUUGCAGAGAUCUUCAAACUCAAAGUUGAUAAGGUUAAGCUAAUUGAAGUAUUUGGUACAUAUCAAUCUGAAUUUUCAAGUGUAAUUGUUGUGUAUGUACAAUGAAUCUCCAAUGUGCAAUUUCUUUAUUAUGGUUGUGAGUGCUAUGUAUUAACGAAAUGUGAAUGAUGUAAUUUUGCUUUUAUGAUGAAAGAUUUAAUUUCCAUACUUGUAAUUGGAAUCUGAGUUGUAUUUUGUUGUUAGGUUCUUUUAUAAUGAAUGACUCAUAUAGUAUUUUUU